ensembl:lncRNA
CAUGUUUCAUAUCUUUUAAAUCAGAAGACAUGCUUAUGUUUCAUAUUUCACAUCAAAUAACCCUUGGAAAGCUAUUUCAGCAUGCUUUUAUCCUUCGUGUUAAAAUCUGCCUGGAAACAUAACUGGCCUUUUAGAAAGUUUUUCCUCUCCAGGCAUACUCCAGUGGAGCAGAGCCCUGUGGAGGGCUAAGUGUUCUUUCUUGCCCCGUAAGGGAAGAUGUAACAAGGUGAAGUGUGAAAAAGAAUUCAAGACCAAAGCAUCCAACCUCUGUCCAUUCUGUUUCUACAGGAGAGACUGUUGAAGCCAAGGAAUGGGAAAUGUGCUGGAGAGGAUGUGCUCCCUUAGGCAAAGCAUAGUAGUUUGCAGCUAACUUUCUGUUUCCUCCUUGUCGGACCCUCUCUACUACGCCAAGACAGCAUCAGCAGACUGCUCCAGCAAGCCAGUGCAGCAGCCCAGGGUGCAGCAUGAGGGCCCAGACUGUAGCCCAGCGCAGCCCCAGGGGGCUACUGAGAUCUCCAAAGCAAAGAUAGAUAAACACUGUCUAAAAGUGUUUUGUUUUCAUUUGUUACUAUUUCCUGGCCUAAGAAUGUAUGAUUACAGUCUUGCACAGCCAGUACAUGACUAUGAACAAAUCCGCAAGUUAGGAAGAAGUUUCUGUUUUGGGUGCCUAAACUGUAUAAACAUUGCAUAUAUCCAUUAUAUAUUGCAAGUGGGAAUAGAGGUAUCUGCAUACACAUGUGUGUAUCAGUGUUAUGAUUCCCUUUGUUGAUGAAGCAUAAAUUUGGGCUCUGGGCCUGAUCACGACUCUUAGAUACUUUAGCUUUAGUUCACUGUAUUCCUGCAGCACCGGAUACUCUCCAAUGCAAGCAAUGUGAUACUAAACCUUUUUCAGAGGCCAAGAUCCAUGAAGAUUUGCUAUGCCCUUUCCUGACACUAGGAUCAACUCACGUAGCUGAGUCUGGCAUUCGUAUACAUUUCAAUGUCUCUGUGGGAACUGCAUAUGCUCUUUUUAUUUUAUGCUAAGAUUCCACUAAAUUGUUCUUUGGAUUUAUUUCAAAGAAGGAGAAGGGAGAAAAAGGCAGUAAAGAUUGCUCUUCUUAUGCUUUUAGUUGUUUUUUUAACUCAAUUAUAUUUUGAUAAUUCUGUAUGAAGCUUUGGAGUAUGUCUUUGUUUAAGCAGUAUACCUUCCAUAGGAAUAGUCAGUUAAAUGUAUAUGGCUAGUUUCAGGCAUAACAAGCUUUGACAAGGGCAUUUAGCGGUUGUAAUUCAAAUCUAAUUCAGAACAUCUUAGCACUGGACCUGUCAAGCACUUGAAAUGCACUGUAGCUGCAAAACGAAGGGAUAUGGUCCCAGUCGUGCUCUGUGUGGCAUCAAGCUGAUGUGUCAACAAGAGCAGUUACAAUUACAGGUUCUUUCAAGCAUACUAAACUAAUUUACAGCACUCUGAAAUUGUGGGAAAAGGCCUUGCUGGCAUGAAGGUACAUGGGACUUUCAUACUGCUAAGACAAGGCAGGUGACAAGAGGGUUUCAUUCAGGAGUUUCAAUAUUGCACAGUUUCAGUGCCACCUUUGAAGAGGGGGGAGGGAUUGUUAGAUUUGUAACUAGAUAUUUUGUGGAUAAUAAUAGAUUUGCCUUGCAGCCAUCAAAUACCCUUGUCAAAUCCCAUUAGAAUCACAUUGCACGCUUGUUUGAAACCUCAAUCUAAAAUGCACCCAUUUGCUAAGUGAGGAUGGGGUCCUAAUUGCACUGCCAGUGACUGGUCCUUUCUGUUUGCUUGUCUUGUUGGCAUAAUAAACAGCACUGACCCUGGCUGCAAAAUGUCUCCACUGCUGCUUCUUCCAUGGAUUAGAAAGCUUUGCGUAUAGGGAGAGGUCUCUCCAGAAGCAGAUCUGAUCCAAGGAUGUCCCACAAAAAACAGGACAGAAUUACAGUAACCAACAUGUAAUUUUAACAUCAAGAUAUAAAAAGACUUGAUUUUAAAGUGCGCCAGUGAUUUAAAGCAGCUGCACACGUUUAGAGGGCAUCGCUUUAAUGUGCUCACAAAGGCUAAUGGAAGCUUUUACAAAAGAAAAAAAAACAACAACACAGGUUUUAUGAUUUAUCUACUUUUUAUGCACAAUAUUAUAGGCUCUUCCCACAGGGACUCAUAAAUGUGAUUUUUACUUCCCAAAUUACAAAGCUAGUCAAUUAUUUGGGAAUGAGUCAUUCAUUCAAGAGUGUCUGUAGCGGGAUGUGUUAACCAUCAGGAAAUUUUACACCAAUUGGAAUUAUAAACACC